rnacentral:rRNA from 1 species
AGAGUUUGAUCAUGGCUCAGAACAAACGCUGGCGGCGUGGCUAAGACAUGCAAGUCGAACGGACCGUUAAUUUAUUAAUGGCUAGUGGCGAAAGGGUUAGGAACGGACAGGUAACGUACCCUGUGCUCUGGGAUAGCGUCGUUCGCCUUCGGGCGAGCUACCGAAAGGGGCGGUAAUACCGGAUAAUAUCAUUUGUUGAUGGACAGAUGUUCAAAGAUUUAUCGGCACAGGAGCGGCCUAUCUCCUAUCAGCUUGUUGGUGAGGUAACGGCUCACCAAGGCGACGACGGGUAGCGGGACUGAGAGGUUGGACCGCAACAUCGGGAUUGAGACACUGCCCGGACCUCCACGGAGGGCUGCAGUAACGAAUCUUGCGCAAUGGGCGAAAGCCUGACGCAGCGACGCCGCGUGUAGGAGGAAGUCUUUCGGGAUGUAAACUACUGUCAGGGGUAAGAAAGUCCGCUUCGGCGGAUUGAUCUAACCCAAAGGAAGUCACGGCUAACUUCGUGCCAGCAGCCGCGGUAAGACGAAGGUGGCAAGCGUUGUUCGGUAUUACUGGGCUUAAAGCGUGUGUAGGCGGAAAGGUAAGCGUCCUGUGAAAGCCCCCGGCUCAACCGGGGAAUUGCUCGACGAACUGCCUUUCUUGAGGCAAGUAGGGGUGCAUGGAACUCUUGGUGGAGCGGUGGAAUGCGUAGAUAUCAAGAGGAACGCCAGCGGUGAAAACGGUGCACUGGGCUUGUUCUGACGCUGAGACACGAAAGCGUGGGUAGCGAACGGGAUUAGAUACCCCGGUAGUCCACGCCGUAAACGAUGUCUACUAGGUUGUGGAAGUUCUGACGCUUGCACAGCCGAAGCAAAAGUGAUAAGUAGACCGCCUGGGGAGUACGGUCGCAAGGCUAAAACUCAAAGGAAUUGACGG